CCCCCUUCGAAGAAGAGGGGGUAUAUUGCUUUGCUCAUGUCGGUCGGUCGGUUUGUCGGUCUGUCGGUCCACCAGGUGGUUGUUAGACGAUAACUCAAGAACGCUUGGGCCUAGGAUCAUGAAACUUCAUAGGUACAUUGAUCAUGACUCGCAGAUGACCCCUAUUGAUUUUGAGGUCACUAGGUCAAAGGUCAAGGUCACGGUGACCAGAAAUAGUAAAAUGGUUUUUGAAUAAUAACUCAAGAACGCAUACGCCUAGGAUCAUGAAACUUCAUGGGUAGAUUGAUCAUGACUCGCAGAUGACCCCUAUUGAUUUUGAGGUCACUAGGUCAAAGGUCAAGGUCACGGUGACCCGAAAUGGUAAAAUGGUUUUCGGAUGAUAACUCAAGAACGCAUACGCCUAGGAUCAUGAAACUUCAUAGGUAGAUUGAUCAUGACUUGCAGAUGACCCCUAUUGAUUUUGAGGUCACAAGGUCAAGGUCACGGUGACCCGAAAUAGUAAAAUGAUUUUCGGAUGAUAACUCAAGAACGGUUUUGCAUAGGAUCAUGACACUUCAUAGGUACAUUGAUCGUGACUAGCAGAUGACCCCUAUUGAUUUUCAGGUCGCUAGGUCAAAGGUCAAGGUCACAGUGACAAAAAUCGUAUUCACACAAUGGCUGCCACUACAACGGACAGCCCAUAUGGGGGGCAUGCAUGUUUUACAAACAGCCCU